rnacentral:rRNA from 1 species
UCGCACUAGUGUGAAUCAUCGAAUCUUUGAACGCACCUUGCACGCGGAGAGUCCAUUUCCGCGUAUACCUGUUUGAGUAACAUAACAUCGACACACUUCUCGGCUGCCUCGGCGGACGAGAGAGCUGGGCCGUCCGGCUUCGGCCGGUGGCUCGAAAUGCAGCGAGGAGACACAGAGCUGUGCCAAGUGAGGAGAUUGCAUCCGUGCAAGCAAUCACGCGGCUGCUCGUUGGCUCCGGCGUGCGACUGCGGGUGCUGCAACACAGCACAAGCAGACGGCACACACCAGUGCACCGUGUACCAUGUAUGUACAUGGUACACGGUGCACUGGUGUGUGCCGUGUACCAUGUACAUACAUGGCAUAUGGUGCACGCAACAGUGUUCUCAAAUCAGGCAAGACCACCCGCUGAACUUAAGCAUAUCAAUAAGCGGAGG